GCAUUGGUAGUUCAGUGGUGGAGUUCUUGCCUUUCAUGCGGGAGGCCUGGGUUCAACUCCUAGCCAAUGCA
rnacentral:tRNA from 1 species